rfam:Candidate division WWE3 bacterium RIFCSPLOWO2_01_FTLL_42_11 rifcsplowo2_01_scaffold_41935, whole genome shotgun sequence.
UGAGAAUCAAAUUAAGGGUAUGUGGUGGAUGACUUGCUAAAUGAUGCCUAUGAAGGACGUGCAACACUGCGAUAAGCCUCGGUCAGCUGUGCAGAAGCUAUUAUCCGGGGAUUUCCGAAUGAAGUAAUUCGUUUGUCGUAAUGGACAUUCAUCCGAUUUCCAAGUUUUAUUCCUUCGGGGGUAGAUAUUAAGAAUUGGAAGGCAAGCUAGCGAAGUGAAACAUCUCAGUAGCUAGAGGAAAAGAAAUCAAAGAGAUUCCCUGAGUAGCGGCGAGCGAAAAGGGAGAAGCCCAAACCAUUUGUGUUUACAUGAAUGGGGUUGUAGGGAUAGAUAUUUAAGAGUUAACAAUCUAAGCAUUAGAAGAAGGUUGCUGGAAAGCACAACCAUAGAGGGUGAAAGUCCCGUAUUCGAAAAUACUUAGACUCUUUUCUAUUACCUGAGUACUGCGCCACACGUGAAACGGCGUAGGAAGCAAGGCCGACCACGGUCUAAGGCUAAAUACAUCAUUUAAGCGAUAGUGAACAAGUACCGUGAGGGAACGUUGAAAAGAACCCCGAGAGGGGAGUGAAAUAGAACCUGAAACCGCAUACUUACAAGCAGAUAGAGCCCUAAUUUAUUAGGGUAAUAUCGUGCCUAUUGAAGAAUGAUCCUGCGAGUGACCGGGAGUUGCAAGGUUAAGGUGUUCAGCACCGAAGCCGUAGCGAAAGCGAGUCUUAAAAGGCGUCUAGUAACUUUCGAUCGACCCGAAGCCAGGUGAGCUUACCAUGGUCAAGGUGAAGCCCCAUGAAGAUGGGGUGAAGGCCUGCACCGGUGUACAAUGCAAAGUGCUCGGAUGAAUUGUGGUAAGGGGUAAAAAGCCAAUCGAACCUGGUGAUAGCUGGUUCUCCCCGAAAUAUAUUUAGGUAUAGCGCUCUGUGAUUAACGAUGGGGGUAGAGCUACUGGAAGGAGGUUGGGCGCGCAAGCGUACCACUUCCUACCAAACUCCGAAUACCAUCGUCUCAAGUAGGGCAGUCAGUAGCCUGGGAGCUAAUUCCAGGUACGAAAGGGAAACAACCCAGACCGACAGUUAAGGUCCCCAAGUGUAAACUAAGUGGGAAAGGAAGUGUUCAACCUUAGACAGGUAGGAGGUUCGCUCAGAGGUAGCAAUCCUUUAAAGAGUGUGUAACAACUCACUACUCGAACCAUCGCAAGAUGGAAGGUUGGACGCGCCGAAGAUUCAACGGGGCUCAAGUUUACCACCGAAACUACGGACUCGUGCGUAGCACAAGAAGUUUAAAGUUAGAAGUUAAAGUCAAAAAUGAUCGGAAAAUGGUCAUUUUAGAUUUAUAAUUUAAUAUUUUGAAUUUCUCGCGCUUUGCGCGAGUGGUAGGGGAGCGUUCCUGUUGCACUGAAGGUGUGCUGUGAGGCAUGCUGGAGCGGCAGGAAGUGAGAAUGCAGGAAUGAGUAGCGAGAAGGCGGUGAAAGUCCGCCUCGCCGGAAGUCUAAGGUUCCCUCCGCAACGUUCAUCGACGGAGGGUUAGUCGGUCCUAAGCUGAGGCCGAAAGGCGUAAGCGAUGGACAACUGGUUAAAAUUCCAGUACUUGGUUAUGGACUGAUGGAGUGACGGGGUUUGAUAAGUUCAGCGUCCGUAUGGUUGGGCGUCUAAGCAACAAAUUAAUUGUGAUAGGUAAAUCCGUCAUGAUGCAAAAUAUCGGAGCAAUCUGAGAAAAGGUGAGUUGUUAAUGUAAGGAGAUUACGGUCUCUAAGUGAACUGCGUUAAGUCUCCUAGAAAAGCUUCUAGGGCUAAUCCAUAAUUAAUCCGUACCGCAAACCGACACAGGUAGACAGGAUGAGUAUUCCAAGGCGAUCGGGAGAACCCCAGUUAAGGAACUCGGCAAAUUAGUGGCGUAACUUAGGGAAAUGCCACCCCAAGCCAUGUCCGCAAGGAUGAGGAUGGGCACAGUAAAAUGGCUCAAGCGACUGUUUAACAAAAACACAGGUCUCUGCUUAACCCGCAAGGGGAAGUAUAGGGGCUGACGCCUGCCCAGUGCCGGUAUGUUAAGGGAGCGGGUGAUCUCUGACUUCGGUCGGAGUGAGCUUGCAACCGAAGCACCGGUGAACGGCAGCAGUAACUAUAACUGUUCUAAGGUAGCGAAAUUCCUUGUCGAUUAAUUAUCGACCCGCACGAAAGGCGUAACGACUUGAGCACUCUCUCAACUGGGGGCCCGGCGAAAUUGAAGUGGCUGUGAAGAUGCGGCCUAACCAUCAUAGGACAAGAAGACCCCGUGGAGCUUUACUACAACCUGAUUUUGGUGACAGUUUUGCUCUGUGUAGUAACAGGUGGGAGAUCACACUUCGGUGUGGUCGUCAGUGAAAUACCACCCUUUGUAAAGCUUGACCCUAAUUCAUGGCCGUCUAACCGGUCAGAAGACAUAGUCAGGCGGGUAGUUUGACUGGGGCGGUCGGCUUCUAAAGAGUAACGAAGCCGCUCCAAGGUUGGCUUAUCCCGGAUGGAAAUCGGGAUGGACGUGCAAAGGCAUAAGCCAGCUUGACUGCGAGACCAACAAGUCGAGCAGGGACGAAAGUCGGACUUAGUGAUCUUCCGUUGGCGCGUGGUGGCGACGGAACUUAUCGAAUAAAAGUUACCCCGGGGAUAACAGGCUAAUUGCGCCCAAGAGUCCANNNNNNNNNNNNNNNNNNNNNNNNNNNNNNNNNNNNNNNNNNNNNNNNNGCUGAAGAAGGUCCCAAGGGUUCGGGUGUUCACCGAUUAAAAUGGCACGCGAGCUGGGUUCAGAACGACGUGAGUCAGUUCGGUCUGUAUCCAUGAUGGUCGUUCGGUUUUUGAGAAGAUCUACUCCUAGUACGAGAGGACCGGAGUGGACAAACCUCUGGUGUACCAGUUGUUCUACCAAGGGCAUUGCUGGGUAGCUAUGUUUGGAAGGGAUAAGCGCUGAAAGCAUAUAAGCGCGAAGCCUACUUCAAGAUGAAAAACCGUGUCUUGCGCAAGCAAGGCGUAGACCCCUAGGAGACUACUAGGUUGAUAGGCGGUAGGUGUAAGCAUAGAAAUGUGUUCAGCCAAGCCGUACUAAUAGGUCUAAUAGAUUCCAAUA